GCGCCCGCCAAGGGGUGUCUGGCCUACCAGACUGAGAUCACACCCUUGAACCUGAUCCGGCUAGUACCGGCGUAGGAAUAGGCACACAGGCUUUCG
rnacentral:ncRNA from 2 species